UGGCAAUUUGUUUUGAUUUUAACGUGAUGAUUUUGGGAAGAUAUACUUGUUUAGUCUAGCCCUGAUGAUGGAAAUAAAUUUUUCCUAAACGUCUGCGAACUAGCAGAGUAUCAUUUUCCUGAAUCUCAUUGAAAAUUCUCAUUGCUAAGUUUGGCAGUAAAUUUGGGUGGUCAUUCGUCAUAAGGAUAUUCAGCAUCCGAUAUAUGAGAAAAGAAAUGAUAAUUUUUUCGACAGAUAAGGGUCAAGACUAUGGCUGCCAUACGUCCCGGUACACCGGGACAUGUCCCGGUUUGAGGCAUUGAGUCCCCGUGUCCCGGUUAGUUGUUCGGUUGUCCCGGUCAUUAAUUUGGUCGUUAUCGUGAUUCAUAUUUCCUUACAUAUGUUAGUUAAGAGGUAAGCACGUAAUCAGCCGACGUCUCCCUGGCAGUCCAAUAAAGGAGGGUCUACGCUACGUCUACACUCUACGCAAUCGCACACCAAUGGCAUGUCACCCACACUCCACGUACGGCGUCGGCGCGGCGGAUAAUAAGUACAUAUUCACCAUUCCGUCAAAAACGUACAGCGCUGCCCAGUUUUACGUAGGAUUUGUAAUAAUCGUAAUACUCAAUAUUCAAAAGAAAUUAUGCCGAAGAGAAAGUGUAGUUUUUCCGCCGAAUACACUAAAGAGUGGUCAUUCAAUAAAAAUGAAGAAAUGACCAGGAAGCUUUAUGUUCAAUUUUUGAACUUUAUAUAUCCGUAAGUCAUGGCGGUAAAUCGAGUGUGAAAGAUCAUAUUCAAAUCAAAAAUCACAACUCCAGAUUGUCAGUUGCAUCAACGUCGAAAGAUAUAUUGUCUUUUAUGAUCAAACAAAAUUCGACAGAAGAUACUCUGAUAUGCGCUGCUGAACUUACCACUGCUUAUAAAGUUGUGAAGCACCACCAAUCGUUUAGUUCGAUAGAUUGUUCGACAAAACUGAAUGCUGUCAUGUAUCCGGAUUCGAGCAUCGCAGUAAAACAAUCAACUGCCAGAACCAAUGGUACGACAAUAGUUGAAAAUAUUUUAUUCCAUUUUGACGUUUAUACACGACUCAACCCAUAGAAACAAGGGUAAGUUGACGUUUAUCCAUUCAGUGAAAUAAUUUUUUUUUAACUCACAAGUUGAAUUAAAUAACAUGAACUAAACUAGAUAAACGUCAUCUUGAUCUUGUCGCUAUGGAUUGAAUAAUGCCCUAGCAACAUCCAUCCGAAGAAAUAAACCUACUCGCCCUUCGGGCUCGUGGGUUAAACUUUCUUCUCAUAAAUAAACAUUCAUUCAACUUACUUGUUGUAUAAAUAACUAUUAGUUCCACACUCCAUUGAGCAAAUCAAAACAGAAAUGGAAAAUAUUCCGUUUUAUGGAAUUUCAACUGAUUUCAGUAAUCAUAAAUCCGAAAAGAUGUUUGAGGUUUGAAAUCAAAAUUAUUAAAAUUAGAUACAUUGCCAAAUAAAUCGUCUGAUUCAUUCUUCAUUAAAUCUUCAGAGAAUCUAAAUAUUCCAAUACAAAAUAUUGCUGCUUUCAGCGCGGAUAAUACGAAUGCUCAUUUCGGAGGAAAAGAUAGGCGUGGAGUGAAUAGGUAAUGUUUUUUUUUUUUUUAAUUAAAAGAGAUUUUGUCUGAAGACAUCAAAGGCAUCGGUUGUCCUGCGCACAUACUUCACAAUACUGCUUCCAGUGCCGCCGAUAUGAUGUCCAUUGAUGUGGAGUCUAUUGUUCUCAAAAUUUUCAAAUUUACCUACUAAGUCGAUGGCUUUAACUACUUCCAGCUGUCGAACGAUUGCUAAAGUUAUAUGUGCCAUUGAAAGAGUUUUUCCCAGAUGAUCAUACAGUGCAUAAUAAACAGAUGAUAAAUUAAUGACAUGUAGACAAACAAGACAUCAAACAAAAAAAUAAUAAUAAUAAAAAAAAAUCAUAAACCUA